GUGGGGAAUAUUGGACAAUGGGCGAAAGCCUGAUCCAGCCAUGCCGCGUGUGUGAAGAAGGUCUUCGGAUUGUAAAGCACUUUAAGUUGGGAGGAAGGGCAGUAAGUUAAUACCUUGCUGUUUUGACGUUACCGACAGAAUAAGCACCGGCUAACUUCGUGCCAGCAGCCGCGGUAAUACGAAGGGUGCAAGCGUUAAUCGGAAUUACUGGGCGUAAAGCGCGCGUAGGUGGUUUUGUAAGUUGGAGGUGAAAUCCCCGGGCUCAACCUGGGAACUGCCUCCGAAACUGCAUGACUAGAGUACGGUAGAGGGUAGUGGAAUUUCCUGUGUAGCGGUGAAAUGCGUAGAUAUAGGAAGGAACACCAGUGGCGAAGGCGACUACCUGGACUGAUACUGACACUGAGGUGCGAAAGCGUGGGGAGCAAACAGGAUUAGAAACCCUAGUAGUCC
rnacentral:rRNA from 1 species